rnacentral:rRNA from 1 species
GUCUACGGCCCUACCACCCUGCACACGCCCAAUCUCAUCUGAUCUUGGAAGCUAAUCAGGGUCGGGCCUAGUUAGUACUUAGGUGGGAGAGUAGACUUAGACU